rnacentral:rRNA from 1 species
UGGUCAAGUUAUUAAGGGUGCAGGGCGGAUGCCUUGGCACUAGGAGCCGAUGAAGGACGUGAUAAGCUGCGAUAAGCUUCGGGGAGUUGCACGUAAACUUUGAUCCGAAGAUUUCCGAAUGAGGAAACUCACUUAGAGUAAUGUCUAAGUAUCAUUAAGUGAAUACAUAGCUUAAUGAGGGGAACUCAGGGAACUGAAACAUCUAAGUACCUGAAGGAAGAGAAAGAAAUUCGAUUCCGUAAGUAGCGGCGAGCGAACGCGGAUUAGCCCAAACCAAUAAAGUUUUCUUUAUUGGGGUUGCGGACAUAUCAUAACGAAGAGGUAUCGUAAUUGAAGAGGUUUGGAAAGACCCACCACAGAAGGUAAUAGUCCUGUAUGUUAAACGAGAAGACUUUAGAUAUGAUCCAGAGUACCACGGGACACGUGAAACCCUGUGGGAAGCAGGAGGGACCACCCUCCAAGGCUAAAUACUACCUAGUGACCGAUAGCGUAUAGUACCGUGAGGGAAAGGUGAAAAGA